AGAGAGGUAAGGGACCAGCUCAGGGACCAGCUACACUAUUCACAGCCCUGUGUAAUGUUCUAUAUAAGAGAGGUAAGGGACCAGCUACACUAUUCACAGCCCUGUGUAAUGUUCUAUAUAAGAGAGGUAAGGGACCAGCUACACUAUUCACAGCCCUGUGUAAUGUUCUAUAUAAGAGAGGUAAGGGACCAGCUACACUAUUCACAGCCCUGUGUAAUGUUCUAUAUAAGAGAGGUAAGAGACCAGCUACACUAUUCACAGCCCUGUGUAAUGUUCUAUAUAAGAGAGGUAAGGGACCAGCUACACUAUUCACAGCCCUGUGUAAUGUUCUAUAUAAGAGAGGGACCAGCUACACUAUUCACAGCCCUGUGUAAUGUUCUAUAUAAGAGAGGUAAGGGACCAGCUCAGGGACCAGCUACACUAUUCACAGCCCUGUGUAA